rnacentral:rRNA from 1 species
CCUACGGGAGGCAGCAGUGAGGAAUAUUGGUCAAUGGGCGCGAGCCUGAACCAGCCAAGUCGCGUGAGGGAUGACGGUCCUACGGAUUGUAAACCUCUUUUGCCGGGGAGCAAGCGUGCGUUCGUGAACGCGCGUCGAGAGUACCCGGAGAAAAAGCAUCGGCUAACUCCGUGCCAGCAGCCGCGGUAAUACGGAGGAUGCGAGCGUUAUCCGGAUUUAUUGGGUUUAAAGGGUGCGUGGGCGGGAUUCCAAGUCAGCGGUAAAAAUGCGGUGCUCAACGCCGUCGAGCCGUUGAGACUGGCGUUCUGGAGUGGGCGAGAGGUAUGCGGAAUGCGUGGUGUAGCGGUGAAAUGCAUAGAUAUUACGCAGAACUCCGAUGGCGAAGGCAGCAUACCGGCGGCCUACUGACGUUGAGGCACGAAAGCGUGGGUAGCGAACAGGAUUAGAUACCCGAGUAGUC